rnacentral:lncRNA from 1 species
AUUCUAUGAAGAGUGAAUUUCUUAGGAACUUUCUGACUUUUACCCCAGUUUGGUAUGAUAAUUAAAAUUAGCAUUUUAUACACAGUGUUAGCUGGAAUGUAAGCAUUACUGUCUCAUCAUUUAAUGUGGCUUGAUGUUACCUGAUGACAUGGAAGUGAAAAUAAUUUUGCAGUGGCUUCUAAUAAAGCCCAGUGUUUUUAAUAUGUAGAAUCCAUAGCAAGGUCAGAGUAGGAGUUAUGUUGCUUGAAAUAAAGAUGAUCCAGGUUUGUUAUACUUGUUCUUUUUGGUUGUUGUUUCUUUGGCUUUUUAAUACAUAUUUUUCUAAUGUUUUAUGUUUGCUAUUUACAAUUGUAAUAAGGUAAAACACAGUAUAUCUGCCUGGCAGCAGGUAAUAAAUAUAUUGUCAGUAAUCUCUGUUCAAUUAAAUUUGCUUAGUCAAAGCUCUUAACUAACCUUGAUGCCUCACUGUGAUUGUGGCAGAUGUACUACUUCAGUGAGCUGGAAAAUAUAUUAAGAUAUAUGGUUUCUGUUAGAUUUCUAUAUCAAUUUAUAGCUGUGAUAUUAGUUAUAUAGUUGCAUAGAUGAGUAUUAUAACCAUUCAAACAUGGGGUACCUGAGACAGGGGCUUUUUUGACUUAAACAUUUUUAUACAGCAGUAACAGAAUAUGAGGCUGUACCUGCAGCUAACAGCUCAGUUUAUUGUUCAUGCAGGUCUCCAGAGUACAUGUCAGUGUUGCCAUCCCUAACCCACCCGUGCUAUGAAAUGCAUAUGUGUUGUCACGAGGACUUUCCUAUAGAUCUCAAGAAAUUUUAAGGCUACUGUGGGCUGUUCAUCUGGAAUAUAAUUUUAUCUAUCAUCCAUGCUCAAGGAAGGAAUUUAAAAGGGGAACAGGCAGAGAGAAGUCCUGCUGAGAUGAUCAAGGACUGGGAGUGCUUGGCUAUAGCAUUAAAGACAAAAGCACAUUUAAUUAAGCAAAAGAGAGGCAGUGCUGAAGCUAGCAGAUCAUGUUGGCACAGGAACCAAAACAUAAAUUGGCUAAGAAUAACUCUGCAAUAGAAUUUUACAUAAGGUUCUUUAGAGAAUUUCUGAAACAGUCUUCCGAAUGAAGUAGUGGUAGGGGAAAAUGAUCUUAUCUCAGGAUGGAGUGUAAUAUUUCUAUGAAAGGGUGAUAUGAUGCAGUGCCAUACAGGGCAAUUGUACUCAAAGAGUCAUGAGGUCAGUUUGCAGUUAGCGUUGCUAUAAACCUAAGUUUCUUUGUACCAUUUGAAAACAUGAGCAGAAUUAUUGCCAAUUGCAGCCAAGAAUUUCAGUAUUGCAGCCCCUAGAAACUAUGAAAGUUUUGAACUAGUUGCUCACAGAUGUUGAUUAAGUAAGGAUAAGCAAUGUGGCUGCUACAGCAUAUGGGACUUACAUUGGUAACCCUGCAUCAUCUGCUACUAAGUGUCAUGAGGUGCUACAUGAACAAGAACAAAACGGGAGCUAAUGUUACUGCCAUCAGCUUCUCUCAUUUUUUUCUUAUUUAUUUAUGAUACUGUUUACAGUGAUCUUAAUUCUAUGCUCUGAGGGUGCACGGGGGAUUGAGUAUACCCUAAGUAAGUUUGCAGAUGACAUCAAGUUGGGAGGAAGUGUCAACCUGCUGGGGGGGUAGGAAGGCCCUAAUCCAGAGGGAUCUCGGCAGUUUGGAUCAAUGGGCUGAGGCCAACUGUGUGAGCUUUAAAGAGACCAAGUGCUGAGACUUGCACUUUGAUUUCAAAACCCCUAUGAAUUUCUAGAGGCUUGAGGCAGAGUGGCUGGAAAAGCUGCACAGAGGAAAAAGAUUGGAGGUGUUAGUUUGACAGUUAGUUGAACAUGAGCCAGCAGUGUGCCCAGGUGGCCAAAAAGCCAAUGGCAUCCCGGUUUGUAUCAGAAAUGGUGCAGCCAGCAGAACUGGGGAGAUGAUCGUCCCUGUGUACUGAGCUCUGGUGAGGCCGCACCUCGAGCGCUGUGUAAUUUUGGGCUCUUCAGUACAAGAAAGACACAGAGGCCCUGGAGCAUGAUCAGGCAAGGGCAACAAAGCUGGUGAAGUGUCGAGCGCAAGUCUUCUGGGGAGCAGUUGAGGGAACUGGGACUGUUCAGUCAGGAGGAGAGGAGGCUCAGGGAAGACCUUAUGGUCUUCAGGCUGUCAUGGCACUGUAUGAUUCUACCAUACUCUGCCAUGACAGCCUGCUGUUUGUUAAAGCAUGCUUACCUUUGUAUAAAAUGAUUCAUGAAAUACUGCGCUGCCCUCUUGAGGCUGUCUAAUGUAUGUUCUGAGCCUGGGGGGUUUUAUUGUUGCGGUGAAAAAGUUAUUUUAAUAAUAUCUGGUUUCUAUGAAAAUAAGCAGAUUAGGCAUGACCAUUUCAAAGCAAUCUCUGUGUUUUAGAUGUCCAAAAGGAGCUGGGCACAUUCCCUUGUCAAAGUCUGUGCCUUAAUUUCUCCAUCUUAACUCAAAAUAUUCCAAGGAUCAUGUGCAAAAGUGCAGAGAUUGGGAGUAGAGUCUGAUAAUGGUUUUUGGUUACAUUCCUUGUUUGGAUUUGAACACAGGAAUAAUUGGCAGCAAUGGGAGGAAUCAUGCUUCUUGUACUUUGGUAUUGGCCAGCAGUCCUGCAAGAGUUUGAUCUUGCAAGUUGAUAGUGAUACAGCUUAUAGUGACUGCUGUGUUGUCUGCUGCAGCUAUUUUGCUCCCUGAAGGUUUCUUCCACUUAUGUAUGCCGUCUGAUUAGAAAUGGUUGCUUAAGUGAACUAAAUGUGUCUAGAUUGACUGAAUGAGGAAUUCAAGCCGUUAGAAUAGCGCCGCCAUGCAAGUGCAAAGUUUAAGCAUGGAGAAGGAAGACACCGUGUGCCAGAAAUCACCUUUGAUAGCUUUUUUUAAAAAACAAACAAAACAAAAAAUUAAAAAAAAAAAAAGCAGGGUUACUACAGAUGUUUUGUGUAAUAGUUUCUCUUAUAUUAAUUGCUUAACAUGAGACUAGAUGGACAAUGGCGGGAAUGCAGAGCGCUGAAGUAGGCUGCCUAAUUGCUCAUUUUUCAUUUCUUGCUCUGGGAAUUGAUUUAUAGUACAGAGUGUCCAUCAGAGAUAAACAGAAGGAACAAAAAGGUCCCAUGUGUUCCUGCACUGCUGUAAGGCUUGGAUUUGACGUGACAGGAGAAGAUGUUUUAGCCAUCUGUCUUACCUCCUGCUCCACAGUGCCUGUGCCAUUCCAAGGGGUUCCUGGAGAAGAUGAAUAAUAGCAGCUAGAAGCAGAAAUACGCUGGGAGUGAUUUCUAGUGGCAGAAAGUUUGGCAGAGCUCCUACUCCCUUAACUGGAGGCAAAGGUUUCCUUUUGUUCAUCUAGUUUUAGAAUAUUUGCUGCCUGUCCCUAAAGGUUGAUUUCAAGCCUCAGUUGUGUUAAUAUGAUUGACGCUCAUUUGGUGACUUAUUUCAGACUGGCUGCCGUGGUUGGCAGACAACAAUUUGUUGGCCAUGAGGGGGAGAAUUACUGAUGGUUGUAAUAACAUGCCAAAAUGAGUAUUGCAUUAUAAAUUUCCAUUCCAGCUGCUCAUAAAGAAGGUCAUGCACUCCAUCUCAUGUCAAACUAACAUGACUAAACAUUAAUAGUUGUACCUCACUGACCAAGUACCCAUGGAAUGGCUAAUACUACUGCUCCUCAAAACCACCCCUAUUACAUAGACUUGUAUUACUAAGCAUAGGAGUAGUAGUAAUUCUUGAUAUCAUCUGAAACUCUGACUAUUUGACACAGGAAAAUCAAUGCUCUUAUUUGGUAUCUUCUAAAAUACCUGAAAAUAACCAGUAGUCCGUUGACUUUUUUUUCCAAAGGUAGAUAUAAAUGCUUUUUAGUAUGCAAAAUUUCAAGGCCUCGAGAACUUUGCUUCCCUAUAUACAUUCAGGUUUUCUUCCAUUGUCUCUAUUAUAAUUGGCACAUUUUAAUGAGUAAAUACCUCUACAAAUAAGAAGAAUUGGAAUAAAAACUAAACAACAGUGCCUGUAGUUGACUAUGAAAGAGAACUUUCUUUUUCACAACUUGUGUGGUUGAAGGCCAAACAUUAUUAUUAAAUACAUAUUUUCAGAUCAGGAAAUGCAUUGUAACCAUGACUAGCAACUAUGAAAAAAAAAAGCAGAAAAAGAAGAAAGAAAAAGCUUUUUCUUCAAGAGUGGAAUAAUGUACUUAGAAAUGAUUUGAGAAGCAGGACUGUUGACACAACAAAUGUGAAAUUGAAUCCUAUUUACUGACACUGUCAUUUCUGACAAAUGAAACUUUUUCAUGUGGAGAGAACUUAACUGAGAAUAUCCUCUUUCCUGUCUGUAAUUCACAGUAGAUACGCUUUCUUCCUCAAGGCAGUAUAGCUCUUCAGCUUCUUUCUUGCCUGACAUAACAUGCCUCUUCAAUUGCAUUGUGCAUAACUUCAUAGGGACCUGCAAACAGAAAAUACUGUCAUAUAUCCUCAUGCCCUGGGGUAUCAAUGCACAACUGCAGCCAAAGAAAUAUUGAAUAGGGAGAAGAAUUCCACUGCCUCCCAUUCUCUUUUGUCAUUUUGCUGCCUUAUGUUCCUUUUAUAGGGCAUGUUUAUUGUAGAUAAAAACAAAAGGAAACUAAGGGGGCAUUAAAGCUGUUUGUCCCUUUUUCUUGAUACAACUUUGUCAGAGGAGAAGAUGGGACACAUAGUGAACAUAAAAGUGUACUCUCAUACUCAGAAGGCCACCCUGAAACUGGGAACUAAAUUCCUGAUGUUAAUAAUAAGUAAAAUGCAAAAAGCAAAAUGCCACACAAACAAACAAACCCAGAGGGUUUGCUGAUGGAUGUCCAUACCUGUGAGUGCAGAGCAGCACUGAGAUUAAUUUCUGCUGUUAUCCUGGUGAAAUGUCUGACUUGUGAAAGCUAAACACACACAAGUAUUUAAGUAAGAGAUCUAAAUUAUCUGUAUAUUUGUGCAUAUUUCAUCCAUUAUAUUCUGCUGUCCUCUAUCUAUCUCUUAUUUUCCUGGACUAAUGUGCUGCAGCCUUAAGUAUUAUCAGGAAUGCUCAAGCCUUCGUAUGUUGUAGAAAUAUGCAUCGGUAAACAAAAGCAGCAGCUGUGAACUCUGCAUCUACACACUAUGCUGUUUUAUAUACUACUUUUCUUUUUAAAGUAAAAUUAUACCUAACAUGCAGUUCAAAAGCUAGCUCAAAUUCAUGUUGCCUGAAGCCAUAUGACCUUGAACUCAGACGUGGAUUUCAGGCAAAACAAGGUAGGUCUGGAAGACUGAGGAAGGAGGAAAUGACUUUGAUGAUUCAGGAAGGACACAUGCUGGUGGUUCAGAGAGUACACAUGGUCAUUCAGUAAGAGUAUGCUUUCACCUCAACUAGUACUGAGCAAGUACCUCCCAAACCUUUGGGAGGCAAAGGUUUGUUAUUAAAGAUGCUGGCCAAAGUGCAUUUUCUUCAAAGACUUGCAUAUUCCCUCUGUUCUAAAUUAUAAAUAAGACCUCUUUUCUAUCUUGGCUUUUUGGUGUCCAAAGUAGAGAAUUGCAUCAGAAUAUAAAACAAAUUGACUGUCAAGCAUUAUUGUAUUAUUUUCUCGUAAUGAAUUGUUUCUGCCUAUGAAUUGGAAGAAUGUAAACAAGAAAUUUGAGCCAAAUACAUUUUUGAUGAAAUCUUAUACUGAGGUUCCAUGAGAGCAAAAUUCUAAUUUUCAGGACAAGUUCCUGUUAAAGUACACCUGCAUGAAGAUGUGUGCAGCUGAAAUGAAUAUAUAAUGCAACCUGAGCAGAUUUAAUCAUGUUUAUCUGGGCUUGUCUCAGGUUUUGGAGGUCUUACUGAUAGCAGAAGUGUUUAUAGAUAUUGCAGGCUUUUUAGCAGCCAAUAUAAUGUAUUUUACAUUGUAAAUACAUGAGUAAUCUUUAGAAGUGCAAUUAAUAACAGUACUGAGAUACACAGUUUAUCAUCUCAAAUUGAAUGUCUGGGCAGUGGGUCACUUUGUUUGAUUUUGUUUCAUUCUGCUACUUCAUAUAUUUUUUCUUCUUAAGUGGCACAAUUCCAGCUCUUUCAGAUAUCCAGAGUUUAGUUCUGUUGCUUUAUAUGUAGGUCAGGUACUCCUGCUCUUCAGGUAACUGAGAGGAAAGAUGACAUAUACAGCAAAUAGAAAGUGUUGUAAGUUCCCCCGUAAUCUGUCACGGGAAUAUUCCUAUUAAAGAAGGAAGUUCCUGAGGACUUUCACUUCAUUCCUUAACCAUAAGCAAAAGAUAGCAAGAUCGAAAAAUCAUCUGCACAAUUCAAAACAGAUUGUCUUUGAAAGAAGUUUCUGUCUCAGGGAGGUAAUUAGAAAUGUAGCUGGGAAGAUCUUGCAUGAUCUUUCCAUAUGGCUUCCUAUUUAUUCCUACCACACUGAGUUGGUAGUUGUAUGGAUUUCUAUAUGUCUAUAUAUGUAUGCAUGUGAAUAUAUGAAACUGGGAAACUGGAACUGUAGCUUUGCUCUGAAAAUGACUACAGAUUGUACUUUCUUAUCACUUCGGUCUUCAUGCUGUGUGUAUUCAUAGCUUAUUACUUUAGACGCAGAAUAAGGAUUACAGAAAUAUUGCUUCUAACAUUAGUCACACUGAUCCAACUCAGAUAAAAAUUAGGGAGCUGGAUUCAUUUUCCAUUACAUCAGCUGCAUUUCCUACAAGGUUCUUGAUGGUGACAUGUAAGCAAAGAACCUUUCAUUGGCAUGGAGGUGCUAUAGGACUCACUGUGACUUGCAGAUCUGUUCUAGUGCUGGCGGUGUCAAGGAAAUGUAUGAAAAGCAGCUGUGAAACAUCGUAAGGAGAGGAAAAAAUUGUACCAUAAAAAUAGGACAACCAUAUUUUCCACAAACUUCUCAAGUCAUCUGGAGGAUGUUUAUCUGGAAACAAACACUGCUGUGAAGGCUGGAUCUGACUGUACUAGCUUCAGUAUAAGUGUUGUAACGGGUUUCCUGUGAUGUUAUAUACUGAAACUUGCCUGAGGGAUUCCUAAUGUCUGAAAAGAUAAGAGCGGAGAGAAUGGGGGAAGAGUACAUCCAGGGAUCUGGUAUAUAAUCUCAGCUCUGUUACUGACAAGCAGA